AAAUCAAAACAUAUAUGUAAGCAUUAUUUCCCAGUUUAUAUGUAUUAAAAAAUUUUCUUACCAAAAGUACUCAAAUGAAUUUUGACUUCAAUAAUUAUUUAAUUUAGUAAGCUUGCUUAUCGCUAAUAGUUAAUAAAAGGUUUUAGUGCAUAUUAAUUUUUAUUAUGAGGACCAGAAAUUGUCUUUAAGAAUUCAAAAUAGAUAUUGAUUACUGCUUGAAGUCACCAGAUAAGUAUGUUUGAAGUCCUUGAAGUAAAAAGAAUGUGGGGGAGAAAAGGAAAGGAGCACAUUGGCGAAAAAGGUGUAAAAAAGGAGAUAAACAUAGCCCUUAGUCUCUAAAGGGGUCUCCCAUCUUUCUUGGAAAAAUAGAAAUGGUUCCACUUCAAAAGAGCAAAUAAAGAGGACGAAAGAUCCAAGAAAUGCUAAUCCAGCGAUCAACAGAAAAUAAGCGAGUCAGAAUGGAAUAUCAAUAAUGAAGAAAAAACUCAAAAUUUAAAAAUCAGCAAAAAGGAUG